CCCCCCAGUCUAGUAGUUUUAAAGUUGUGCGUUUCAGGUUCAAGUCUGUAAUCCAGCUGGGAUUCUGUGUGUGCUGCAUGUGUGCAUCAAAAGAACACGCUUCUAGAAGCAGAAAGCAGGCAGUGCGACUGUUGGGUGGUUGGCGGGACUGGGGGAGGGGAGCUGCUGCCCAGAGAGGGCGCCCGAGGGAGGCAGGAGAUGCCGGGCUGCCCACCGCAAGCCUGCAGACUCCAAGGAGGCGGAACCUGCGUGCGCAAUGAGCCUUUUGAGACAGGCCCAAGCCCGCCCAGCCGGGUGCUAACCUCGCACCCGCCAGGCUUGCGGGUUCCCCCAGGACUAGGGGAAGCCUAAGGCCAAGGAGGGCAAGACCUAGGGCCUGGACCUGGGAACUGGUUCUGCCACGUGUGAUCGCAGCACUUAUGCUGGGAAGGAGGGCAGGGAGCAUAUCGCAACGUGCGUCCGGACGAUGACCCAGAAGGGCAGGAGUUGUGGUCACUCACGGACUCUGCGUCUGCAUAUGGAUGCCCCCAGGGUGCAGUUCCAGGAGCAGAAGGCAAAGCCACAGAGGCCACAGUGCACCUUGCCGAUGCUCCCCAGGGGCAUUGCUCCAAAUUUGGGGAACAGUCCCUCCUCUGGGCUAGGGACUUUGUUUCCUCCAUUGUCAUCACUGACUGUGAGCAGACUCUUGUCUAGGCAGACUAAUGAGGAGUUAUCAAAAUGAGCUUCAAAGUCCGGAUUUGAGUUAAGGAUCGUAAAUUAACACAGAGAAAUACGACUUUAGCAAUAAGUGCCUGCUUGAAGCCCAAGUUGCCUUAAAACACGGAAUUUCAGUCUUUCAGCUCCUCUGCUAAUCUAGUGACUAAGAACUGGAUCUCACUGGAGCUCAAAGAUGUGGGGCACUGGGAAUACUCCUGGGUCUGUCUGCUCACGGCUGAUUGCCUGAUUCCCAGUUUUAUUAUACAGCUUAAAUACAGACCAGAAGAGGAGUUUGGGGCUUGACACCUGACAUCUUAACACCAGUUCCUGUUUCUUGAGGAAGGAAGAGGUAAAAUAAAUCAGCGUUUACUGUUUCCUUCUCCAUCCCUGGAAGUCCUGAUGAAGACCCUCUCAGAGAUGCAGCACACACAGAAUCCCAGCUGGAUUACAGACUUGAACCUGAAGACCUUAUGCAGAAUGACAAUUUAUGAACCACUAAGCUCAGUACUAAAGCAGCUUCAACUUGAACGUGAAUAUGAGCAACUGAUCAUCUGUUCUGCAGUCAGCCCCUGGCCUGAUUCUGACUCAUGAUAUUGACCUUCUCCAUCAUCACCUUCCACAAAUUUGUUUUCUGUCUAUUCUGCCUGGAGUGGUUCACGAGUAUAGUCACCGUUUAUGUUCCUGACGAAAGCUUAAAUACAGACCAGAAGAGGAGUUUGGGGCUUGACACCUGACAUCUUAACACCAGUUCCUGUUUCUUGAGGAAGGAAGAGGUAAAAUAAAUCAGCGUUUACUGUGUCGUUCUCCAUCCCCGGAAGUCCUGAUGAAGACCCUCUCAGCUUCUACUUGAACGUGAAUAUGAGCAACUGAUCAUCUGUUCUGCAGUCAGCCCCUGGCCUGAUUCUGACUCAUGAUAUUGACCUUCUCCAUCAUCACCUUCCACAAAUUUGAUUCCUAUCUAUUCUCCCUGGAAUAGUUCAUGAGUAUAGUCACCAUUUAUGUUCCUGACGAAAGGUAUGUGCAAUGAAUAAGUCAUUGGUCUUGCCAAAUUCUAUCAUGUAAGCUUCAUUGUCAUUUCUAUCAUCAAUACCUUAUUUUCCAACUGCUGAUUUGUCUGCUUUGUUUUCAACUUCGCAUCCUAAUUACGUAAUUAUCAGUACAUCUUGAUUGAUGAAUGCAUCACGUUUGAUCAGUUUCAAACUGCGGAACUUGGUAAAAACCUUCAACUUCUUCAUCUUUCACAUUCAUGAUUUGUGUGUAAAUUUGAAUAAUAGUCUUAUUAACUGGUCUUCCUAGUAGGCCUGUGGAUAUUAUCCUAUUGUUCGUAGUGUUCUACUUCAGAAAAGAUCUUGAAAUGUUCUUUUUAUCGAUGAAUAUGAUGCCGUUCUCUUCAGUAUCUCAAUCCUGGCAUAGUAGAACAUAUCAUUGUCUACUUUAAAAUGUCCAAAACCAAGCUAUUUCAGCUCACUAAUGCCUUGGAUUACUGACCUUUAUGCAUUCCAUUUCAUUUUUGAUGACUUCCAAUUUCCCUAGAUUCAUACUUCCUUCAUUCCACAUUCUGAUUAUUAAAGGAUAUUUGCAUCAGUUUCUUCUCAUUAUGAGUUGUGCCCCAUCAGGAAACGUCAUUAAAGUGGGAUCUACUUUGAGGAGGUAGCUCUUCCCCACUCAUAUUUUGAGUGCCUUCCAACCUAAGGGGUUAUCCUCUGUCAUUCAGUCAGACAGUGUUCCAGUACUAUUUGUAAGAUUUCACUGGCCAGUUUUUUUUAGAAAUAGAUCACUAGGUCCUUUUUCCUAGUCUGUCUAAAUCCAGAGCUCCACUCAAACCAGUCUACCAUGGGUGAACCUGAUGGUAUUUGAAAUACCGGUGGCAUAGCUUCUAACAUCACAGCAACAUGCAUGCCACCACAGUACAACAAACUGACAGAAGAGUGGUGGGAGUUAAAAAUAAGAAGAACCAAAAAGAGUGCUUCUUCCAUGUCUGCUGAUUUAGAGGAACCAAGAAAAAUUGUCAAGUGAAGAGUGAUUCAGAGGAAAACAUGGGUAGAAUGUGACCUAAUUUCCAUAAAAACAAACAAAUGAAUGUACUUACAUGAGUCCCAGCAAAAAGAAGUGUGUAAAAGGGUACAUAUGUA